UACGUAGGGGGGCAAGCGUUGUCCGGAAUUAUUGGGCGUAAAGAGCUCGUAGGCGGCUUGUCACGUCGGAUGUGAAAGCCCGAGGCUUAACCUCGGGUCUGCAUUCGAUACGGGGCUAGCUAGAGUGUGGUAGGGGGAGAUCGGAAUUCCUGGUGUAGCGGUGAAAAUGCGCAGAUAUCAGGAGGAACACCGGUGGCGAAGGCGGAUCUCUGGGCCAUUACUGACGCUGAGGAGCGAAAGCGUGGGGAGCGAACAGG
rnacentral:rRNA from 1 species